UGUAACCAUAUCUGAAGUCAAGCAAGAGCACGCGCAUGAACUUAAGCAUAUCACUAAGCGCAGGUAAAAAGAAAAAAAUAACUAUGAUUGCCUCAGUAACGGCGAGUGAACCGGCAAUAGCCCAAGAUGAGAACCGCAGCCCUUCGGGCUCGCGGGUUGUAAUCUAAAGAGCAGUCACUGACUGGCUUUGCUGACGCCCAAGUGUCUUGGAAUAGACCGCCAGGGAGGGUGAAAGCCCCGUACGGUGUCGGGAGAGCGCUAGGUGGCCGCUUGAAGAGUCGAGUUGUUCGGGACUGCAGCUCUAAGUGGGAGGUAGACUUCUCCUAAGGCUCAAUAACUAUGAGAGACCGAUAGCGAACAAGUAAUGUGAAUGAAAGAUGAAAAUAUAUUUUUCCUUCCGUAAGAACUUUGAAUGAACAAAACAGAAUUAAACAGACCUGAAACCGUUGAGGUGGAAGCGAUAGGAAGUUUACAUUUGGCCCGGAGCUAGCAAAGCGGGUUCGCCUGCGAGUUUGCUCCUGGUCGAAACGGUCGUUCGGCUUUGCGCGCCUCAUAAACCCCCCCGGGCAAGGGCUUCGGCACCACUCGGAGGGAGCCUGUUGCGUGCGAGGUCGAGGGACUUUUGAUGUUUAUCCUACCGA
rnacentral:rRNA from 1 species